ensembl:misc_RNA Metazoa_SRP Metazoan signal recognition particle RNA
GCUGGGCAUGGUGGCACGUGCCUGUAAUCCCAGCUACUCAGGAGGCUGAGGCAGGAGAAUCGCUUGAACCCAGGAGGUGGAGGUUGCAGUGAGCCAAGAUUGUGCCAUUGGACUCCAGCCUGGGUGACAGAGUGAGACUCUGUCUCAA